AGCUCUCUGUCUCCGUGCUGAGAUCUCGUCACACACCAGACCACAAGGGCUGAUGAGACUUCCAAGAUAAGUGAAGCG
rnacentral:pre_miRNA from 1 species